GUUCAUUCCAUUCCAGACCAUUCCAUUUGACUCCAUUCCUUUCGAGCCCUUUCAAUUUGAGUCCAUUCCUUUCCAGUCCAUUUCACUCCAGUCCAUUACUAUCCAUUCCAUACCAUUCCAUCCCAUUCCAUUCCAUUCCAUUCCAUUCCAUUCCAUUCCAUUCCAUUCCAUUGCAUUCCAUUCCAUUCCAUUCCUUUGCACUGCACUCCAUUCCAUUACAUUCUACUCUAUCUGAGUCGAUUUUAUUGCAUUAGAUUCUAUUCCAUUGGAUUACUUUCCAUUCGAUUACAUUCCAUUCAUGUACAUUCCAUUCCAGUCAAUUACAUUCGAGUUCAUUACAUUACAUUCCAGUAUAUUCCAUUGUAUUCGAUCCCAUUCCUUUCAAUUCCAUUUCAUUCGACUCCAUUAUAUUCAAUUCCAUUCCACUCGAAUCCAUUCCAUUAGAGGACAUUCCAUUCCAAUGCAUUCCAUUCCAUUCCAUAGCAUUCCAUUGCAUUCGAUUCCAUUCCAUUUGAUGCCAUUCCAUUUGAUGCCAUCCCAUGACAUUCCAUUCCAUUCGAGUCCAUUCCGUUCCAAUUCAUUCCAUUCCGUUUCAUGAAAUUCGAGUCCUUUCCAGUACAUUUCAUUCCAAUCCCAUCCAAUCCCAUCUACUCCAUUCAAUUCCUUUCCAUUCCAUUUGAUUUGAUUCCAUUGAUUUGAUUCCAUUCAGUUUGAUUCCAUUCCGUGAAAUUUCGUUCCAUUCUAUUCCAUUGCAUUACUUUCCAU
rnacentral:lncRNA from 10 species